GACGACGCUGGCGGCGUGGAUUAGGCAUGCAAGUCGAACGGUAGGAUACCUUCGGGUAUCUGAGAGUGGCGAACGGGUGAGUAACACGUAGGUGAUCUACCCUCAAGAUUGGGACAACCCAGGGAAACUUGGGCUAAUACCGGAUGAAAGCAGCAGUGAUGUUGUUUGAAAGGUGGCGUAAGCUGCCGUUUGGGGAUGAGCCUGCGCUCUAUUAGUUAGUUGGCGGGGUAAAGGCCCACCAAGGCGAUGAUAGAUAGGCGGCCUUAACGGGUGGUCGCCCACACUGGGAUUGAGAUACGGCCCAGACUCCUACGGGGGGCAGCAGUCGAGAAUAGUCUACAAUGGCCGAAAGGCUGAUAGUGCGACGCCGCGUGAACGAAGAAGCCCUUCGGGGUGUAAAGUUCUUUUAUAUGUGAGCAGUGCUUUCUAUGUGAACAGCAUGGGGAGAGAGAUAUUAGCAUAUGAAUAAGCAACGGCUAACUCCGUG
rnacentral:rRNA from 1 species